GUCUCCAAAGAAAGUACAUGUGCAGACAACAUGAAACUUUAGACUGCAGAAAAUUGCACAAGCAGUUAUCAAACUCAUGUCACAGAAGUGGUAAAGGACAUGUGUGACAACUGAAUGGUAUCCUUUUGUAAAGUUUUUGGCCAGGGGUGUGUCUUUAUUUUUUAAUUGAUAUUUGAGGUUGGGUAAUAAUUUUUGUUGACUUUUUAAUGGUUGGAUCAGCACACGUUUUACCAAGAAAAACAUUUCUCUCUUCGGUGCCACCAGAGUUCAAUAUAAUUCUGAAAACUUGGUCUGACAUUGUGUCAGACCAACCGAUGUUUUGGUCGGACAGAUCGGACACUUAAUGAUUCUCAAGAGGGACGUUGUCACCAAAACCGUAACAACUACCAAAAGUCCAAAACUAUAUGCAUAAUGGUUAACACAGUAUAUAUAAUAUAAAGUAUUUCUCUUAACACACGAGAUGACAUGACAUUGUUAUUGUGCAGAUCGGGGCGAAGUCAGAUUCUGUGAUUGUUUAGCAGACGGAAUCUUUGUUUGCAUGUGUUAAAGAUUACAUAUUUUGUUAAAAAGAUUUGCUACAAUGAAGGAAGAAACAUUCACAAAAACGGUCGGCCAUAAUGUCUGUGCAGAGUAAUCAGUAGACGGCCAUAUCAGCAUUUUGCUCGGCUAAUGGCUGGUGGCCGAUCGUUAUAUUGACCCCUGGGUGCCNNNNNNNNNNNNNNNNNNNNCCCCCCCCCCCCCCCCCCCCCCGCCAUAAACAAUGACCACUCCCCAAAUCUAAACGAAAAUCUGUUGUGUCUUUGCAGGCAACAUCUAUAAUCUCAAAAAUCUCGAUUCGAAAAAAGAUGCACGGUUAAGCUUCUAUCAAAUAAAAGAAUAGUAUAUACGCGAUAAAUAUUAUUAGAUUCCUUGUGUUUGGGGGUAUUGUACUGUACAUUGAAAUUUCUGGAAAUAUUUUACCUAAGUUAUAAUAUUUUGGUACUUUAUUAUAUAUAUAUUUUAUAUUUUGUUAAAAUAUGAUUUGCAUCUUGCAUUUGACAUUGAAUCGCAAUUUCUAUAGGUAAUAAUAUGGUUUCGAGCGCAAUUUGGAAAAAAAAAGACAUCCAAGAGUGAGUUUUUCAAAGACGAGCAAUGUGAAGUCUUUGAAAAACUCCCGCACGGGAAAUUGGUACCACUUUCUGAAAAAAGGUAUCAAUUUCCCGCGCGUAAUACAAAAUGACUGAAAAACGGCAAAUUUCGCAAGGCUAUAUUAUCCGCAUUUUACAACAUUUCGCAACGAAACUUCGGAAUAUUACUAAUUUUGUGAUGCUCUUUCAAGCUGUGGGGAAAUGUUUGUCUAGACUUGUCUGGAUCAAAAUUUUGUUCAUUAGGGAAUAUGUCCAUUGCACAAGAAACCAUACUAUUACUUAUUAAUAAUAUACAUGAAAUAAUUAUGCAGUCACAUGGGAAAUAGAUUUUAAUAUAAACAAUUCUAAUAGAAAGUUUACUAAAGACACCAGCCAUUUUUGUCACGUGUAAAUGUUUGGGGGUUUUUGUAUUAUUUUCUGCUAGAAAUGGCUGUGUCUCAUAGUCAAUGAAAUUUGCACCGUAUUUCAUUUUUUGGCACUGUAUUUCGAGAAAAUUGCACUCUCUUAGCCAACCAGAAUUGAACAUUUUUUCAUGUAUAUUAUUAUAGUAUAAACAAAGUUUGCAUCGUCGGAACGUCUUGUCUUGCUGUCUACUUUGCAGUUCGAGGAUAAAUUUUGAAGAAGAAAAACGGUGAAAAUCGUGGACUUGUAAAAACAACAUAAUUUAGCGUAAUCAUAAUUCGCUCUUAAUAAACAUUUUUGCAUGCUUUGAGCGUGACUGUUCUGCUAUUAAUAUCUCGUUAAAUUACAAGCAAGUCAAUUAUAUAAUGAAAAAUUAACUCGCUCUGGU
rnacentral:lncRNA from 1 species